UACAGAGGGUGCGAGCGUUACUCGGAAUUACUGGGCGUAAAGCGUGCGCAGGCGGUCCGCCAAGUCUGAUGUGAAAGCCCCGGGCUCAACCUGGGAACUGCAUUGGAAACUAACGGGCUCGAGUGUGGCAGAGGGGGGUGGAAUUCCACGUGUAGCAGUGAAAUGCGUAGAGAUGUGGAGGAACACCGAUGGCGAAGGCAGCCCCCUGGGCUAACACUGACGCUCAGGCACGAAAGCGUGGGGAGCAAACAGG
rnacentral:rRNA from 1 species